rnacentral:rRNA from 1 species
UGCGGGAAUANUGCACAAUGGAGGAAACUNUGANGCAGCAACGCCGCGUGGAGGAUGACAGCAUUUCGGUGUGUAAACUCCUUUUAUAUGGCGAAGAUAAUGACGUACCAUAUGAAUAAGCACCG